rnacentral:rRNA from 1 species
CAAUAGCGUAUAUUAAAGCUGUUGCGGUUAAAAAGCUCGUAGUUGGAUUUCUGUCAAGGACAACUGGUCCGCCCUCCGGGUGAGCACAUAGUUUGGUCUUGACAUCUUGCUGGAAGCUGUUGCUGCACUUGGCUGUGUGGCGCAGUGUUCAGCACUUUCACUUUGAGGAAAUUGGAGUGUUUCAAGCAGGCACAUGCCUUUGGACACAGUGGCAUGGAAUAAUUAGAUUGGGCUUUUGCUCCAAUUUGUCGGUUUCUGGAGCUGAGGUGAGUAUUAAUGGGGAUUGUUGGGGGCAUCCGAAUUUAGCCGUCAGAGGUGAAAUUCUUGGAUCUGCUAAAGACGGACAACUGCGAAAGCGUUUGCCCAGGAUGUUUUCAUUGA